UUUGGCAAAAGUGAUGCUGUGGCAGUGUCUUGCCCAGACUUAUGAUAGUGGGGGCUUCCAUUCCUGUCUUUUGGAACACUUGCCCCUGGAAGUCUGAGCCUUCAUGUAAGAAGUUUGGCUACUCUGCUGGAGAGGCCUCCUGGAGAGUACCCAAGAAUCUACCAAAAGGAGGUGGAGGUUGGCUCACGCAUCAGGCAUUUCCUUAGGAAAUCCCACCAUUGUCUGAUUGGGAAGGAAUGGCUUUCCCGACUGGUGCGACUAGGAAGAUCAUCCUCUGAAGGAAAAAACCCAGACGUUCUGUCUCCAAUAGAUUCCCAGUAUUCCCACCGUCCCAGCCUGUGGAGCUCCAUGCUUGUACCUUGUGCACUUUCUGAAUAACAAAGGUGCACUGGUUUUCGGCAGCACAGUGAGGACAGAAAGAUUAAUUUCAGGAGCAUAACAGGACCCAAACGACUGAAACAGAAAUAGCCACAUGCCAGGAUGAAGAUCUGUUUUCCCUUCUGUGCAGUCGUCCCC
rnacentral:lncRNA from 1 species